rnacentral:rRNA from 1 species
UACGUAGGGUGCAAGCGUUAAUCGGAAUUACUGGGCGUAAAGCGUGCGCAGGCGGUGAUGUAAGACAGGUGUGAAAUCCCCGGGCUUAACCUGGGAACUGCAUUUGUGACUGCAUUGCUGGAGUGCGGCAGAGGGGGAUGGAAUUCCGCGUGUAGCAGUGAAAUGCGUAGAUAUGCGGAGGAACACCGAUGGCGAAGACAAUCCCCUGGGCCUGCACUGACGCUCAUGCACGAAAGCGUGGGGAGCAAACAGG